GACGAACGCUGGCGGCGUGCCUAAUACAUGCAAGUAGAACGCUGAAGGAGGAGCUUGCUUCUCUGGAUGAGUUGCGAACGGGUGAGUAACGCGUAGGUAACCUGCCUGGUAGCGGGGGAUAACUAUUGGAAACGAUAGCUAAUACCGCAUAAUAGUAGAUGUUGCAUGACAUUUGCUUAAAAGGUGCAAUUGCAUCACUACCAGAUGGACCUGCGUUGUAUUAGCUAGUUGGUGGGGUAACGGCUCACCAAGGCGACGAUACAUAGCCGACCUGAGAGGGUGAUCGGCCACACUGGGACUGAGACACGGCCCAGACUCCUACGGGAGGCAGCAGUAGGGAAUCUUCGGCUAUGGACGGAAGUCUGACCGAGCAACGCCGCGUGAGUGAAGAAGGUUUUCGGAUCGUAAAGCUCUGUUGUAAGAGAAGAACGAGUGUGAGAGUGGAAAGUUCACACUGUGACGGUAUCUUACCAGAAAGGGACGGCUAACUACGUG
rnacentral:rRNA from 1 species